rnacentral:rRNA from 1 species
GCCAAAUAGCUAGCCUAACCCGCAGAAUAUAAAAUCGUUAUAACAUACCCCACCCAACCCCAACAUCCAAACUAAAACAUUCUCCGACCUAAGUAUGGGCGACAGAAAAGGCCACAUAGAGCAAUAAUAAAAGUACCGCAAGGGAAAGCUGAAAAAGAAAUGAAACAACCCAUCCAAGCACAAAAAAGCAGAGACACGACCUCGUACCUUUUGCAUCAUGAUUUAGCCAGAACCCCUGAGCAAAGAGCACUUUAGUUCAAAGCCCCGAAACCAAGUGAGCUACCCCGAGACAGCCAUACAGGGCAUAUCCAUCUCUGUGGCAAAAGAGUGGAGAGAUCUCCGAGUAGUGAUGACAUAUCUAUCGAACUUGGUAAUAGCUGGUUGCCUAGGAAUUGGAUAAAAGUUCAGCCUCGUCCUCCUCCCCCCACCACACCCCAAGCAAGGGCAAGAGAAAAACACGAGAGUUAGUCAAAGGAGGGACAGCUCCCAUGACACAGGACACAACCUUACCAGGAGGUUAAGGACUAUAUGCUACAAGACUACUGCUCCGGUGGGCCUAAAAGCAGCCACCCGCAUAGAAAGCGUUAAAGCUCGAACAGCCAAAAAGCCUACAAUUCAAGUAUAUUAUCCAAAACCCCUAAUUCUACUAGGCCCUUCCAUGCCCCCAUGGAAAAGACACUGCUAAAAUGAGUAAUAAGAAGGGCAACCCCUUCUCCUGGCCCAAGUGUAAGUCAGAUCGGACCCACCACUGAUAAUUAACGAACCCAACCAAAGAGGGCACUGUGUGUUUUUACAAAAAACAAGAAAACCCCACAACAUCCUAAUCGUUAACCCUACACUGGAGCGCCACAACUAGGAAAGACUAAAAGAAAAGGAAGGAACUCGGCAAACACUAGCCUCGCCUGUUUACCAAAAACACCGCCUCCUGCACACCCCACAUAGGAGGUCCCGCCUGCCCAGUGACCACUGUUUAACGGCCGCGGUAUUUUAACCGUGCAAAGGUAGCGCAAUCACUUGUCCUUUAAAUGAAGACCUGUAUGAAUGGCAUAACGAGGGCUUUACUGUCUCCCCUUUCAAGUCAGUGAAAUUGAUCUGCCCGUGCAGAAGCGGACAUAAAAAUAUAAGACGAGAAGACCCUUUGGAGCUUAAGAUAUAAGCCAACUACGUUAAUAAGCUCACUACCAGCUUUAAACUCAAUAGCUAUGGCCCACAUCUUCGGUUGGGGCGACAAUGGAGGAAAACAAAGCCUCCACGCGGUAUGGGAUUACCCCAAAAAAUCAAGAGCAACCCCUCUAAAUCUCAGAACCUCUGACCUAGCGAUCCGGCUCCUCGCCGAUCAACGGACCAAGUUACCCUAGGGAUAACAGCGCAAUCCCCUUCUAGAGUUCCUAUCGACAAGGGGGUUUACGACCUCGAUGUUGGAUCAGGACAUCCUAAUGGUGCAGCCGCUAUUAAGGGUUCGUUUGUUCAACGAUUAAAGUCCUACGUGAUCUGAGUUCAGACCGGAGAAAUCCAGGUCAGUUUCUAUCUAUAUAGCAGCCCCUCCUAGUACGAAAGGACCGGAGAGGCCGGGCCAAUACUUUAAGCACGCCCCCCGCCAACUUGACGAAAACAACUAAAUCAAGUAAAGACGAGCACAACCCAGCCCGAAAUAAGGACCU